AAUAUAUAUUUAUAGCACAACAAACGGUGAAACGGCCAAACUACUCAUGUACACUUUAAUACCUGAAAUUUCCAAGACUAUUCCGUAAGUUCCAUAUAAUUUGAUAAGGACAGCUCUUCAAAUACUGGCAAAAACAUUUCAAGGCAUCGCUUGAGUCCGAAAACACCGCAAAAUUAUCUCCAUAUAUGAAGCAAAAUCUCGAGCAAAAUAACAAAUUUC